UAAUACAUGCAAGUCGAACGCUUCUUUCCUCCCGAGUGCUUGCACUCAAUUGGAAAGAGGAGUGGCGGACGGGUGAGUAACACGUGGGUAACCUACCCAUCAGAGGGGGAUAACACUUGGAAACAGGUGCUAAUACCGCAUAACAGUUUAUGCCGCAUGGCAUAAGAGUGAAAGGCGCUUUCGGGUGUCGCUGAUGGAUGGACCCGCGGUGCAUUAGCUAGUUGGUGAGGUAACGGCUCACCAAGGCCACGAUGCAUAGCCGACCUGAGAGGGUGAUCGGCCACACUGGGACUGAGACACGGCCCAGACUCCUACGGGAGGCAGCAGUAGGGAAUCUUCGGCAAUGGACGAAAGUCUGACCGAGCAACGCCGCGUGAGUGAAGAAGGUUUUCGGAUCGUAAAACUCUGUUGUUAGAGAAGAACAAGGACGUUAGUAACUGAACGUCCCCUGACGGUAUCUAACCAGAAAGCCACGGCUAACUACGUGCCAGCAGCCGCGGUAAUACGUAGGUGGCAAGCGUUGUCCGGAUUUAUUGGGCGUAAAGCGAGCGCAGGCGGUUUCUUAAGUCUGAUGUGAAAGCCCCCGGCUCAACCGGGGAGGGUCAUUGGAAACUGGGAGACUUGAGUGCAGAAGA
rnacentral:rRNA from 1 species